GCGGAGGUGCCAGAGCGGAAAAUGGGUAUGGCUAAGGACCAUAUGGCUUAGUGCCUACGCAGGUUCAAAUCCUGUCCUCCGCA
rnacentral:tRNA from 1 species